rnacentral:tRNA from 35 species
GGGGCUAUAGCUCAGCUGGGAGAGCGCUACAAUGGCAUUGUAGAGGUCGGCGGUUCGAUCCCGCCUAGCUCCACCA